CAACGCCUGUCUGCACGGCUGUCUGCCGGCCCGGCCGCUGGAUCCUCACUCCACCCAGGAAUGGCCUCUCUGCCCGUCUCUGCCCAGGUGUGACCACCAGGUGCCAGGCGCCCGGGGCCACCGUGGUCCCGAGUCCAAGUGCAGGUGCUUUCUGCUACCCUGUCCUGCCUGGUCUGGGAGAGGGGACGUCGGGGGGAUAGCCAACUCCCCAGGAGGGGACCCUCCAAGCACCGAUGUGUCCCUGUCCCUGAGGCCAGUGGAGACCACAAGCAGUCACGGGCCCUGUGCCACGCAGGGGGCCCCCAGGCUGAUUCAGCACGGGUCUCUCCUUGCCACCCGCUCGUGCCCCGCCCUGCUCCUGUGCUGUCACAGAGUGAGGGCCACUGAGGAGCCUGCCACGCACAGGGCAACUUCAACUGGCCUGAAAACCCCAGCCCUGCCCCAGCGCCCAGGCGUCUCCCCGAGUCUCAGACCCUCAACUGGAGCUGCGAUGACACCAAUCUCCCGCUGCUCCCCGGACCAGAGCCACUGUGCAGACCGGGAAACCGAGCACAGAGAGGUUAACCACUGACGAAAGCUGCACAGGAGGGGCUGGAUUCAGAGCCAGAGUCCACACUGCAGCGCCGCGCCCACAGACACGUGAGCAGAUGGUCACCCUCGUAACCAGCGCAGAGUGGGGGCUCACCGACAGCUAUCUCCCACCUCACAGUGUGGUUCAAAUCCUGGACCCGGCGGACGGAAGGACACAGCUGUGUAUGCGCGCACGUGUGCCCCAAAUCCUGAGAGGACAAUGGAGGAGAGACCAUGGCGUGGCGAUGCCCGGGCAGGAGCUUCUCAUUUUCACUUUCUCUUUCUGCCGAGCUCAUGCA